UACGUAGGUGGCAAGCGUUGUCCGGAUUUACUGGGCGUAAAGAGCGCGCAGGCGGUCGGAUAAGUCGAAUGUGAAAGCCCCCGGCUCAACUGGGGAGGGUCAUUCGAUACUGUUCGACUCGAAGGCAGGAGAGGGAAGUGGAAUUCCCGGUGUAGUGGUGAAAUGCGUAGAUAUCGGGAGGAACACCAGUGGCGAAGGCGACUUCCUGGCCUGUUCUUGACGCUGAGGCGCGAAAGCUAGGGGAGCGAACAGG
rnacentral:rRNA from 1 species